rnacentral:rRNA from 1 species
GGCUCAGAUUGAACGCUGGCGGCAGGCCUAACACAUGCAAGUCGAGCGGUAGAGAGAAGCUUGCUUCUCUUGAGAGCGGCGGACGGGUGAGUAAUGCCUAGGAAUCUGCCUGGUAGUGGGGGAUAACGUUCGGAAACGGACGCUAAUACCGCAUACGUCCUACGGGAGAAAGCAGGGGACCUUCGGGCCUUGCGCUAUCAGAUGAGCCUAGGUCGGAUUAGCUAGUUGGUGGGGUAAUGGCUCACCAAGGCGACGAUCCGUAACUGGUCUGAGAGGAUGAUCAGUCACACUGGAACUGAGACACGGUCCAGACUCCUACGGGAGGCAGCAGUGGGGAAUAUUGGACAAUGGGCGAAAGCCUGAUCCAGCCAUGCCGCGUGUGUGAAGAAGGUCUUCGGAUUGUAAAGCACUUUAAGUUGGGAGGAAGGGC